rnacentral:rRNA from 1 species
GACGAACGCUGGCGGCGUGCUUAACACAUGCAAGUCGAACGGAAAGUCCCUGCUUUUGUGGUGUGCUCGAGUGGCGAACGGGGGAGUAACCCGUGAGUAACCUCCCCUUUACUUUGGGAUAACUUCAGGAAACUGGGGCUAAUACCGGAUAUGAUCUCCCGCUGCAUGGUGUGGGGUGGAAAGUUUCGGCGGUUGGGGAUGGACUCGCGGCUUAUCAGCUGGUUGGGCGGGGAGUGGCUUACCAAGUCUGUGACGGGUAGACGGCCUGAGAGGUUGACCGGCCACAAUGGGACUACGGUAGGGACCAGAAGCCUAUGGGAGGCAGUAGUCGGGAGUAUUGCCCAAUGGGCGGACGUCUGAUACAGAAAUGCUGCGUGCGUAAUGACGUCCUUCGGGUUAUAAACAGCUUUCGCCUGUGCCGAAGCGUGAGUGACGGUAAUGGGUAAGAAAGCACCGGCUAACUACGUG